GAUAGAUAGAUAGAUAGAUCGAUAGAUAGAGGCAUAGCCUGCUUUUACCAGGAGGGUAAAAGCAAGAACAGCAGCUAUUCAGCUUCAGAUGCCUGAAUCCGAGUUCAGGUAGGCCACCUGGAUUCUAGUGAUUCCAGCAUAGUGGUAGACUUUGGAGUCAAACAAGUAUUUCUGCUAAGGCUGUGUAACCUUAAGCAAGUUGCUUAACAUCUCUGACAAUUGACAUAUGGAAACUCUGAUGAUUUCUUCACCUGUGAAAUAUGGAUGAUAAUAGUGCUUUUCUCAGAGGGCUGAGAGAUAAUUUAAUGAAAUAAUAUAUAUAAAUAUACAAAACUAGCUAGCACUUAAGAAGUGUAUAAUAAUUUUUUGUUUUGAAAAGUAGAUUAGCUGAGAACCCCUAAAAGGAUGUUAGAAUAGAGUGAAACAACUUUCCACAAGGCAAGGAAGCUUAUGGACAGUUUUAUAGAUGUAUCCUAGGUUUAUUCUGUGACAAGCAAUGCUAAUAGUGACCUUAGCAAUUAUUAAGAGCUUGGUAUGUGCCAGGCACCACACUAAACACUUUAUGUGGAUUAGCUCUGAGCAAGCCUCUGGGUUCUAAGACUGAAGACUAUCUUAAGGCAAGCGGCGGGGAAGGCUGUGCUUUCUGCUUAUGUGUAUCAAUGCCAGAGAAGUGCUCCACUGUUCUCUGGGAUGUGUUUACUCCCCCAGCCCUUGGCAAGUUUAUAAACCAUUGGCUUUGAAAGUUUCCACGUGUCAAGCACGUGGGAUCUGUUUUGCUCUAAUUCACUUGGGUUUGCAACUGAAAAGCUCUGACCUUCCCAAAGUUCACCUGGGUGUGUGAAGAUGGCUCAGGGGGCCCAGGGCCAAGAGUAAGUUGUGCAAAUCUUCCCUCUACCACAGCAGCCUGCAGAGAAUGCCUCCAACCCAGGACUGCUCCUUAAAGUCAAGGAUGCAGCACAUCUGUGUUUCUUCAGCACCUAGACCCAAUCUUGCAUGUGGCAGGCAAUCAAUGUCUUAAGGAAGGGAAGACAGAACCUAGCUUCCAUCUUUUUCUCUAUCCCCAGCAUCCCCACCCUGUCUGCUCCUAUCCUCUGCACCUACCUUGUGUCAGCCAUACAUGCGUUAAUGGUCUCAGUUGAAAACAGGGUCCUCCCUGAGGCAUGUGAGGCAUCUGGGUAGUUUUCAGAGGCUGGUGUCAAGAGCAAGAACAGACCAUCAGGGAUCAAGCUUGGCCUUACCCAUGGCUUGGCUGAGUGACACUGGACAAAUUACUUCUCUCUCUGCACUGCAGUUUUCUUUUAUGUAAAAUGUAGGUGAUAAUAAGAGAACUUUCUUCAUUGUAUUGUAAGGCAUUUGAUUCAAUGUUGGUACAUAAUAAAUCACUGUAUAUUGAAACAUAUGUAAAUACACAGUACACACAGCUAUAUACACAUAUAUGCACAGAUAUAGACACAAUAUACAAACAUACACACACAAGGAUAGUGUGUAUGCAUAUAUGUGUGUGUGUAUGUGUGAAUAAUCCCUGGAAGCUGAGAAGCAGCCAGGAAGUGCUCGUUCUACACUCACAUGCACCCACACACUGACUUAAAAACACAGUGUAACAUACAAAUCCAUCCAAUAAGCAUUCUAAAUGAUGACUACUGUAAUAAGAAGUAGCGCAAUGGAAAGAGUAAGCCAGGAAAGACUUCCUGGAGGAAACAACUUCAAACUGCGCAUGGAAAAUAAGUUGAGUGAAAUUAUUGUCCUAUGCUGAGACUUACUCCAGAAUUAAGAACAGGGUAAAAUCCAACCAAGAGGCUGCCCAGCCUCAGUGGGAGAGAGAUCGCUAAUAGAAGUGAGAGUCUCUGUCUAUUCUCUCACUUCAUUCUGAGCUACAACUGGCAGAGGAGUUAGCUUCUCCUGCAAUUCCAGACCUUAGGAAAAUUCAGAGAAUAAUCCUGUGAAAUCCUGUAGGAAAACACAGUUAAAGUCCCCAUAUGGUUUUCACAAAAUCUUGUCUCUGUUAAGACCAAACACCAAAGAGCUGGUCAGAUAUCUUCCUGAAGAUGGGGCCUCCUCCAGCCAUAUCAGCUGGGUUCCCUCGAUCCCCAAAGCAAGAAGAAAAAAAAGGCUCUCAGAGUAGGUACCGUGCACCCCUGGCUCCAGGGGGAGACUUGGGUUGGAGAGGCCAGCCAGGCGCCUUGGCUAACGUUUGGUUCCACAGCUAAGUGCAGUCUCCAGCUUAGCAGCCUCUCCCCCUUUAUCUCGCCCCCACCGUUCCUUUCACUUUGACAUAAUGAAAGUGCAACUUGCACACUGUCUCGAGAUUGCAUAUGAUAAUUGGAAACAUGUGUCUUAGCUGGCAUACCUUCAAAGGGCUUUGGAACUCUGACUUGGGCCGUCUUCUGAUUGCAAUAGCAAUCCCCCAAGCUGGCUUUCCAGUCUUCACAUUCCUUCAGUUGCACCUUAGUAUUAACUCUUGCCAGGAGAAGGCUGUUGCAAGCAGAGCUCAUUCCUGAGGGUCUGCAGAGUCUGGCAAUAAUGGUUUCCUGAGUGCACAGCAAGGUUCUGGGCUUGGCAUCUGGGCACUGACUUUCCAGAAAAUAACAGCAAGAAACAGCAGGUCCAUUUUCCGUUUUGCAGAAAUGGCACAUUGAUGAGUUGUCACCGAGGGAGAAGCCUGGGUCUUUUAGAGUAUUGCUUGGACUCUCAAGGGUUGUGAUGCUGGACCCCAUCUAAUCCAGCAGUAUGCUUUUUUCCUGAAGAAAAUAUCAAAAUGUCAUUAUGUCACCAGGAGACUCCUGCGGGAAGUAUAGAAUCAAUGGUGACUCCACUAUAAUCACCCCAAGCUGUGUGAUGGACAGGAAUGGACUCUAUGGCUUCAUUCCAUUAGGGAAACCAAGAAGGACUAGAGAAAGGAAAGGUAACCUACGCAUCAUCAGUUCCAACCCUGAGGAGGAGAGGUAGAAAAGACCAGAAAGCAAAGUGCUAAGAGAAGAGACCAUCUGGCUCACUGUUGGACAGCCUGGAUGCUACAGGAAUGUUUGGACAUGCUUAAAAACAUAGGAAGAAGUCAAACAGGGAGAAACAAUGGGUGCUAGAGAAGAUGGUACAUAGAAGAAAAACAGAUUCCUUCAUGAAGAGACACUAGGUAAGAAAUAUCAACUGGUGACCAAGCAAACUGAAGCCUAUUUUUCUCCAUUCCAGGAUUAUUGAAUACCAGCUACACAUCUGUAUCCAAGCAGUAGCAUCCUCUACUUUUAUUGUUCAUUCGUCUAAUCACCCGUUCUUUCAGCAAAUAUGUAUUAAGUUCUGUCUAUGUGCUAGAUAUUGGAGCUAAAAAUAUUAAUAAAACAGAGUAUUUGCCUUCAGAAGGCUCACCAACAAGUGGGAAAACUAUACAGGACACAAUUAAUAAGUGAUGAGUAGAUGCAAAGGUAAACAAAUUUUAACACGAGGUGAGAGAAAGCUCUUAAUUCUGUGUAUGGAGGAAAGGAAGGCCUUUCGUGGAGGGGUAUUUGAGCUAAGACUUGGAGGAUGAGUGGGAGCAUACUACCAGUGCAAGAGGAAGUCUGAGGUAGAGGAGACAACAUUUGCAGAGUCCUGGAGACAAAGAAAAAUGUGGAGUGGUCAGUAGCUGAAAAAAGAUAGCGUGGAUAGAGUCUGAGGUGGCCUUAGGAGUCCAGAGAAGAUGAGACUGGAAGAGCAGGUAGGAUUCACUCAUGAUAGGCAAUGAACUCUGUUUUCUACAAUUUAGAUUUUAUUGGCUAGGCAAAUGGUGAAGCUCCAGUUUGCAUUUUAGAAAGACUGCUCAGGCAACCAUGUAAAAGAUAAGUUCAAUCAUAACGACCUGAAGAGAAUUUUAACUGAACUUGACAUCAAUAACUGGUUGGUUCAUCUACAUUUGGCAGUAUACCCACAGUGCUACCUUGAUUUGUUUGGAAGAAUAUCUAAACCUUAAUUAGAAUCCGGAAUCUCUGAAAAAGAUGGCUGGGAUUAGCUCAGUUUUUUCUUAAUUGUGUUCUACAGAAUGCUAGUUCUAUGGAGUAUUAGUAGGUGCUAAGGGGUAUGGGGGUAGAGGAGUGUCUACCAGUUACAUUUUAGGAAAUUAUACUUAAGGUUAUUACCCUUAGGGAAUAGAGUGGCAUUAUGGGUAACCCAGAAAAGAUAAAGCAGAGAAAAUGCUUCUAUGUUUCUUCAGAAAGCAUCAAAGAAGACAUAUUGCAGGAAGCUAUAGACACAAACAUAACUUCUUGCUUCCUUCUCUGUGCUUACUUUCCUUGGACUAGUGCUAAAAUGGGCUGAUAUUGAUAUUCUCUGAGCACACAAGUACUUGUUGCAGUUUUAACUUCAGCUGGGUGGCUGGGAGAAAAUUAAUUUAUGAUUUGAGAAUUUGUUGUGCAGCUGACUAACCCUCCCCUAGAGAAAGGGCCAGGGUGUGUAGAUGGUAUCAGCCAGGCUGAUCAAGGUGAGAAGGUUCAAGGGGUCAGGAUAAGUCAGAAAGAGGAGGGACCAGGGAAGAGAUGAGAGAAGAGAUCCAGGACUUGAGUGUUAAGCAGUGACCGUGGGAGAAUGUUUGAGUAUCAAGAUAAAGAUGUUGAAUCUGACAUUAGACCUGGGCCUGAAAAAAUCAGUAGGAUAUUAGGUCCCAAUUAAUGUAGAGACAUAAUAGGAAGCUGGGAACAAUAUGUGAAUGAAACAAGAAGGUCUAGGCCUUUCUCCGUGAAUGGAGACGGGUAGCUCGCAGCAUCUUUUUAUGAGGCGCUGUCUGUGUGAUAUGGAAGUGCGGGGGUGGGGGGGUCACUGUGCAUUAAAGACACAGCACCUGGGUAGGCAAGGUCAUACCCCUGGACUAUAAGUUACUGGGCAGGAAUCAUUUGAUUAAUUUUAGUUCCUGUAGCACCCAAUACAGAACUUGACACAACAGUAGGUGCUCAGUUAAGAUUUAUUGAACAGAUGGCUAAAUAAAUUCUAUAAUUUAAGCUUUCCUCCACAUCACCAACCUAUCCCUACCUCUGUGUUCCAAAGGAGAUUCUACUUUGACACGGUGUUUCUUUGUAGAAUGACCCUCUGAGUCUUUAUCCCAACAGAAAGAUACGAAAACCUUCAUUAAGAUGUAGGCUUCCUAUUUCAAUAGAAAAAUGACACCAGUUGGCAGAUCUAUUUCUGGUGGAACACCGAAAGUGGCACAGGGUCUGAAUGUUUGUGUCCCCUCAAAAUGUAUAUGUUGAAAUCUAAACUCCCAAGGUGAUGCUAUUAGGAGGUAGGGCCUCUAGAAGAUGAGCAGGUAAUAAGGACAGAGCCCUCAUGAGUGGAACUAGUGCCCUUAUUUAAAAAGCCAGAAAGAGCUGCCUUGCCCCUUCCACCCUGUGAGGGAACCGCAAGAAGGCACCAUCUGGAAGGAAGCAGGCCCUCACCAGACACUGAAUUUGCCAGAACCUUGAUGUUGGGCUUCUCAGCCUCCUGAACUGUGAGAAAUAAAUUUCUAUUGCUUAUUAGACACGUGGGUUAAGGUAUUUUGUUAUAGCAGGACAGACAGACUGAGUCUUGCUAACCACUCCUCUCCCUCUUUUUACUUCAUUCCA